rnacentral:lncRNA from 10 species
CAUUGGUCAAGAGACCUCCCUCUCAGAUGCUGGCUCUGCCCCUGCCUUUGGGGGUCGACCCUUGUACUCGCAGGACCUUAGGUGACUCUAUGGAGUUUCGCUCUUGUUGCCCAGGCUGGAGUGCAGUGGCACGAUCUCGGCUCACCACAACCUCCGCCUCCUGGAUUCAAGCAAUUCUCCUGCCUCAGCCUCCUGAGUAGCUGGGAUUACAGUUGCCCACCUCCACGCCUGGCUAAUUUUAUAUUUUUAGUAGAGAUGGGGUUUCUCCAUGUUGGUCAGGCUGGUCUCGAACUCCCGACCUCAGGUGAUCCACCUGCCUCGGCCUCCCAAAGUGCUGGGAUUACAGGCAUGAGCCACCAUGCCUGGCCUAUAAUUUUUAUUUAUUUAUGUAUUUAUUUGAGUUUUAUUGUCCAACAGCUGUUAAAUUCACUAGUAAUUCAAGGGCUCAAGUUGUAAUAUCUAAUAAUCUAACAGGAAUAGGAAGAAAAACUUAAAAUGUUUUUAAAUAUGCCUUAUUGUCCUGCCAAAUCUUGAAUUGGUGAAAUACUGAGUUAGUACUACUAUAGAAAUUAUGUGGAUUAAAUUUUGUAAUUAGAAAAAUUAUUUGGGGUUUUUA